GUUGCACGAGCUGCACCGUGCUGCCCAGACCCCUGGAGGAAGAGGAUGGCUGAGCUCUCAGGGGCCACACCCGGAGCCCUGAGCCUGUUCUGAGCCCCUCACUUAAGGAGCAUGCCGGAGACUCUGAAAAUGAUGCCAGUGAUUGUGAUACUUUCAGAGGAAACUGAACUUCAGAGAAUGACUCACCCAAGGUCACACUGCUCAGAUUCUAAAAAAUUUGGUGCUGAUGGCUAACCACUGGACCGCCAGGGAAUUCCCAUCACCCAGUUUCCUGAACACAAAGAGAAAGACUCUCUAUUUCACCCUCCCCCUUCUCCCUACCCCUCCCAGGCACCCCCACUAACACCAGUCAUGGACACCAGUGCCUUAAGCUGCCCAAGCGUGGCUUCCAGCCCUACUGUAAUCGACAAGAACCCCCACUCCCCGAGAUGGCCUCUCUCUGUGCCAGCCACAUGCCACUAAACUCCAGAUUAAGAGGCCCAGCUGAGAUUUCUCUUGUUCCCCCCAUACCCCUGGGGCCAAUCGUCUCUCAUUUCAGGAGGGGGGAUGGAACUAGAAGUUUGGAUUUGGGAAGGGGGGUCGAGAGGGCUCACCGCCAA